GGGGGAACCGGCCGAACCAUCAGCCCGACGGGACGGGAGGGAGCACCCUCGGGGCGGGAAGACGAGCCCCCGGCGGCGCGUGACAGGGCGAAGCGAGGAGGUGCCAGGCCUUCCUGAUGAGAUGUGUCCUGCCCCAGAGGGCUCCGGG
rnacentral:lncRNA from 1 species